UGGGGAAUAUUGGACAAUGGACCAAGAGUCUGAUCCAGCAAUUCUGUGUGCACGAUGAAGUUUUUCGGAAUGUAAAGUGCUUUCAGUUGGGAAGAAAGAAAUGACGGUACCAACAGAAGAAGUGACGGCUAAAUACGUGCCAGCAGCCGCGGUAAUACGUAUGUCACGAGCGUUAUCCGGGUUUAUUGGGCGUAAAGCGCGUCUAGGUGGUUAUGUAAGUCUGAUGUGAAAAUGCAGGGCUCAACUCUGGAUUGCGUUGGAAACUGUAUAACUAGAGUACUGGAGAGGUAAGCGGAACUACAAGUGUAGAGGUGAAAUUCGUAGAUAUUUGUAGGAAUGCCGAUGGGGAAGCCAGCUUACUGGACAGAUACUGACGCUGAAGCGCGAAAGCGUGGGUAGCAAACAGGAUUAGAUACCCUGGUAGUCCACGCCGUAAACGAUGAUUACUAGGUGUUGGGGGUCGAACCUCAGCGCCCAAGCAAACGCGAUAAGUAAUCCGCCUGGGGAGUACGUACGCAAGUAUG
rnacentral:rRNA from 1 species